rnacentral:rRNA from 1 species
AUACGGAGGGUGCAAGCGUUGUUCGGAAUUACUGGGCGUAAAGCGCGCGUAGGUCGUCUGUCAUGUCAGAUGUGAAAGUCCACGGCUCAACCGUGGAAGUGCAUUUGAAACUGGCAGACUUGAGUACUGGAGGGGGUAGUGGAAUUCCCGGUGUAGAGGUGAAAUUCGUAGAUAUCGGGAGGAAUACCGGUGGCGAAGGCGACUACCUGGCCAGAUACUGACACUGAGGUGCGAAAGCGUGGGGAGCGAACAGGAUUAGAAACCCGAGUAGUCC